rnacentral:sRNA from 1 species
AUAGAGCGAGGACGCUAACAGGAACAAUGACUCAGGAUGAGGGUCAGGAGCGCCAGGAGGCGAAGACAGAGGAUUGUCAGGAAGACAAACGUCCGGAGACGUAAUUAAACGGAAAUGGAAUCAACACGGAUUGUUCCGGCUAAAGGAAAAAGAGGGUGUGUUGGCGGCCUGCAAGGAUUGUAAGACCCGUUAAGGGUUAUGAGUCAGGAAAAAAAAAAAAACAGAAAAAAAAAUGCCCUCUUUUUUUUUUUUUUUUUUUUUUUUU